UGAAUUAGAAAACAAAUAGCACCCUAAAAAAUGAGAAAAGACAAUCGUUUUUAUAUAAGAAUGUCAUAAACAAAGUCAAAACCUUGCUAAUUUAGUGGGAAUUGUUAAAUCUUUUUUUAAAAAUAAAAAACGUUUUCAGAUCCUGGGCCUUUGGUUAGGUUGCAAGUGGGUGGGAAAGGCAGGUCUUGGUUUUGGUUUUUAUAAAAACUUUAUAAAAACAUUAAGCUACCCUGCUAUUUUCUUGGAAUUUGAAAUUUUGCAGGAGCUCAAAUUCGAAUCUUGUGGAUGUCCGACUCAACUUCUUCUUCUACUCCUCUUUCUACCUCUUGCACUGACCCAACCUCAGCGACUACGAUUUUACCAAAUUUCUCUCAACUUGUGUCUAUCAAGCUUGAUGGCAAAAAUUAUCUCGCCUGGGUUGCCAAAUUUCUUCCCAUACUUUGUAGCGAUGAUCUUUUGGGGAUGGUGGAUAGUUUUGAACCCUAUCCACCAAAGUUCUUGCCUAAUGAUACUUUUGUGGGGCUUCCAUGUAUGCAAUCCAUACUUCACGACAGGCAUGGACAGCAUUGUCCAAUCGUUAUGACUCUCAAUCACGGUCAAGGAUUUCUCAUCUCAAACAACAACUUCAGAGUCUACAACAAGGGAGUAGAGCUGUACAGAAUAUCUCAACUAAGCCAAAAUCUGGGCUUAUCAGAUUUCAGCAGUGGGUAAACCGGUAGAUGACCAUGAUCUUAUUUCCUUUGUGAUAAGUGGUUUACAUACUUAGAAUUCUUUUGUAACAGCCUUUUAUUUUGCUGUUAGAGAUCACGAUAUGUCUUUCUGCUUUUGAUUUCUCAUACAAUCCUUUCAUAAAUAUAAAGCAAUUAAACUAUUGUACAUGCAGACUA